UUAUCAAUUGAAUCGUUUCAUAACUCCCCGCUUUGAGAAUCAAAAAAGUUCAAACGUUCAAUCUCUUUAAUCUCUGAGCAGCGUCCUUCAAACUCGGAUCAUUCUCCCUAAGUCCUCUACAUUACCCAAGUACGUGUAGUCCUUCCAUGUCACCGAACUGACUUUAUGUGUUGUGCUCCUGUGAAAAUGCUUCAUUUAUUCAAAGAAGAAUCUCAACUUUCAGUUCAUCGUCGUAUUCCACUCUUUGGAGCCGAGCUGGAUCAAAACAUCAGAUGCGACAACUGCAGGGUUCUCAGAAAGGGCCUGUUUUCACGCUGUAAUCUCCAGUCCUGGACACUGUCGACGGAAGAGCUCAAAAAGGGUAGAGAGGAAGACUUUAGGUUGUGAAACGCUGAGCCGCUUCCAGGAGGAGACGAUGAAGGAUGCGCAGGCCCUCUCGAUUCAAGUGAAGCAAGUCUACUCGGCGAUUCUGAUGACCUCUUUUAGGAAAAUAAAACUUUUCGUAAAAUCGGCGAUCAGGCUCCCAAGAGUCUUGACGCAUGAGGGGAGAGAAGCUGUCAACCACAAGGACACGAUCACGCAAUGAUUCUCUGGAGCUCGACAACCAUUGAUUGACCACAUCAAUCUUGCGAUUGACAUGCGCAGGAAAGAGAGGAAUAGAAGGGGUUCGGCCGACGAAGCGAAAGUGUCUUUCGGCAUAAAGAAGGAGGGCCUUCAAGGCCUUUUUAAGGGAUGGGACAUCAACUUCCGCCUUGAUGUCGUUAGUCCCUGCUAGAAUGAUAAGAAUAUCCCUGUCUUUGUCGAAGCCUUCAUUUCUUGAAAGGUGCUUAAGAAUCUGGGUUUUUAGGAUCGAUCGGAGCCGCAGAUCAUGGUUUGCCGGAGGAAGGCAACAACUAGAAAGUCCCGUGCGGUCCCCGCACCAAUCCGCGAAGCAGAUGGGGGGGGGCGAAGCCCCCCAAAUGCCGGCGCUUUUUUUUAACAUCGGACUCAAGGGCUCCAGGAAAACCCGAAAUUCGCAAAUCAACCACAUAGUGGCACAGGCAUUGCAAUUCCCUCCCUGUACAGCCACUCUUUUCGAGAAACAAAUUAUUCUCGCUCCAUAAACUUUGUUAAAUCAAUAGACCAUGUGGAAACCUUUGGACAGA